CCCAUCAACUCCUUCGGGAUUGCGGGGGGCGGAUGAUGGCCUCCCGUGCGCCUCGCCGCGCGGUUGGCAUAAAUGCCAAGUCCUCGGCGACGCACGCCACGACAAUCGGUGGUUGCGAAACCUCGGUUGCCCGUCGUGUGCGGUCGUCGCGCAUCGAGGGCUCG
rnacentral:misc_RNA from 1 species